rnacentral:lncRNA from 1 species
GGACUUCACAGCCUAAAAAGAAGAAAAGGCACAAAAGCAAUUUAGUGAAUAACUUAAAACCUAAACAUUUCAAAUCUUUUGAGCCUAUGCCCAAUCUAGCUAAAAAUCUGCAAUUCACCAAAUACAAUACAAAAAAGACAAUACCCAUGUCUGGUUCUUAACUCGAUCAGAGACCGAUGGAUCCAAUCCAGGGAAUCUAGCAUUCUGAAACACCACGCAUGCACAUCAAAUCAAAGUGCUAUUCCAUCCAGAAAAUGCAACCAGAUCAAAGGCACGCUCUAAAUCACUCUCUAUCUUUCAAUUAUAAUACGAGAAUGAAAUAAACAUCCCACUAAGGAAUAUAAGGGGUUUGGG